UAAUAGGCCCAGCAAUUGAGAAAUAACUUUUCCCUCACACAAAUUCUGCGAUUUCAAUCUUUCCUGAAUAACUUUAUAACCAGAUGGCCAUCAUAAAUUCACUCCUGGUGAAGAAGGAAGAUGAUUAAUGGAGGCUGUAGAAAGAUGGAGGAAGUUUUGGGUCUCCUUUAACGAUAGUUGGAUGUCUUAGAGCAGUGUUUCACAACCUCUGCAACUUUAGGAUGGGUGGACUUCAACUCCCCGAGAGCAUCAAGGACCCCACAAUUGACAUAUUGAUGAUGUGACCCAGUUGGAUCACCAACAACCAAGAGAGUACCAAGGACCCCACAAUCAACCUCCUCCACUCUGCAAACUCCCUCCUUUCUAGAACGGAUGACGUUACCUACUUUGGUAAUGAAACGUCUGCAGUAGCAACUAAGCUUUGAUAACACCAGUUGUGGCCCACCAACUGCCAGUGGAACUGGCAGCAGACUCGGACAGUGAGGAGGUUGGGGAGGAACUUGGGCCGGUUCUAGAACCUGGGGAAGGCUCUGAUGGAUGCUCUGUGUCAGAUGCAGAGAUAGAGUCAGGACCGUCCGACAUUUCCCAGCCACCGGAGAGGCAGCUGUCUUCGGAAGCUGAGACAAAUGGGGAGGAAGAACAGCUGGGGCCUGUUAAAGUUGCACGCAUGCGCAGAGCUGUUAGGAGAGGAGAACAACAGAGGACAAGGAGUCGACUCCGGAAGCAAAGCACAUGUGGACGCUGAAUGGCCCCUCCCUGGCUGGGGAAUAAAUAGAAGGAAAAGGGGAGUGGUUGUCGUAGGAGACAACUGUUCGGAUUUCUGAAGAUUUUGCUCAUGGUGUUUCGUGCCACAAAGACUGCUUGCCAGAACUUAAUUUGCAGACUUUCGGCUGGGAGCUCACGGCCUUGCAAUUAUUGCAAGGAACUGAUAAGGUCUGUUACUGCAGUUUACUCCUUGAAGGAUUAUUGCCUGGACUUUUCAGUGGGUGAAUGCUAUUAAUUCACAAGAGGCAAAUAAAGAGGGUUUUUCGUGACAA